AUUGAACGCUGGCGGCAGGCUUAACACAUGCAAGUCGAACGGUAACAUAAAGAAGCUUGCUUCUUUGAUGACGAGUGGCGGACGGGUGAGUAAUGCUUGGGAAUCUAGCUUAUGGAGGGGGAUAACUACGGGAAACUGUAGCUAAUACCGCGUAAUAUCGAAAGAUUAAAGUGUGGGACCUUCGGGCCACAUGCCAUAGGAUGAGCCCAAGUGGGAUUAGGUAGUUGGUGAGGUAAAGGCUCACCAAGCCGACGAUCUCUAGCUGGUCUGAGAGGAUGACCAGCCACACUGGGACUGAGACACGGCCCAGACUCCUACGGGAGGCAGCAGUGGGGAAUAUUGCGCAAUGGGGGCAACCCUGACGCAGCCAUGCCGCGUGAAUGAAGAAGGCCUUCGGGUUGUAAAGUUCUUUCGGUAGCGAGGAAGGCAUUUAGUUUAAUAGACUAGGUGAGUGACGUAA
rnacentral:rRNA from 1 species